CUAUAAUUGAAGAAUGAAAUAUACGCGUGAAGCAUAUGCCUGCAAACCUACCAUUCAAAAUGCUACUAAGACCAGAGAGGAAGAGCUCGGAACCAAACAGACAUUUAUCUACCAGUCAAACUUCGUAAAACUCAAACUCCUUUUCAAGAGACCAAACUCGUCAGACGAAAAUCAUUUAGCUUGGUGAAAGAAUCACAGCAGAGUAUGGGGAGAAGAACCAGCACCACCAGUUCAGAGAUGUUCUUGCACAGGAAAUAUACCAGGGAAUCGCCGCAACAUUAAGAAGAGCCUGCCAAAAGAUGACGAUUCAAAAGGUACAGAUACUUAUGUAAGACGCUUUAUCUUCCAGGAGAACAAAAUCAAGCAAGAAGAGGAAUCAAAGUUACCGAAUAUGUCGUGGAUUCAUUACUGUUUCCAGUUACCAGAUAUGUCGUCAGUGUAUUUUGACCAGAGUCCAAGAGAAAUCCCAUGAAAAACAGACACUUGUAGAGUAUAGAGGGAUACUCUCCUUGUCAGGAUUGAUUGUCUGUCCAGACCAGAGUAGAGGCCCAAACUCCAACAUUUGUCAGCUGAAAUGACUCCUCAGUCACCAGUCCGAGAAGCACAAGAUAAGCCGAAGCAAGCAAGAAAAGGAAGGCGAGCAGCACACGCAAUGUACAAACACAGCAGCAACAGCAUGAAUUUUGCUUGAAAUAGCUUAGCGUUAAGAAAGAAUGGAUUACGAAAGGAUCGAAAAGCCUCAGGGAGGAGGGGGAGGAUUGUCACCGGGGAAACUGAGAAGCAUGAUUCUAGGAGUGGAAAAGAAGAGAAAUCAACAAGAACAAGAGGAAGAGCUUGAAUCCUCUAACGCGUUCAGAUCUCAACUUAAUCACCUCGAUGAAACUGGUGGCGGCAGUUCUGAUAAUUGCAAAGAUGUAGAUGUUGUCAACGUGCUUCCCGAAUUCCCUGCUUCAACAACAGCUGAUUCCAGGGCUGCAUCACAGAUGGUCAGUGAUGGUAGUAGAUUGAAGGAUCAAUCUUUUGUCAAUUCAAGAAUCAGGAGCCAGGAAGUCCCAUCUUUUGAUUAUGAUAAAAGUAAUGAAACUGCAAUUGUGCUCUCCUCGAUUUCUGAUUUUCAAAAGGCUGAGCGGGCCCCACAAAGAGUACCCCUUGCUCCGUUCUCAAAACCAGCACCAUCCAAAUGGGAUGAUGCCCAGAAGUGGAUAGCAAGCCCCACUUGGAACCGGCCUAAAACAGGGCAUGCUCAGGUGCAAGGUGGACAAGGACCGCGGAAGACGGGUAAUGCUCUGAGUCGGCAAUCUUCUACAAAGGUUGUUGUAGAAGUUCCAGAACAAAAGGUGGUUACAUUUGAAGAACCAGAUACAAAACGGGUUGAUACUAAUCAAGCUAAGAAGGAAACUUGUCUGCAGAAACUUCAAAGUUGGGAGGCUGAUUCAUACCCAAUAGUUGAUUCCUAUGGCAAGCCUGUGCUUAUGAAUGAGAAUUCUGCUGGGCAAUCAGCAAUCAGUCUCAGCAGGCAUGAUUCAUCUUUGGCCAUACACAGUGCAACUACAUUUAUCCCGCCUCCUUCAACUGCUAGGUCUGUGUCAAUGAGAGAUAUGGGUACAGAAAUGACUCCUAUUGCUAGUCAAGAGCCUUCUAGGACAGGAACUCCAGUGAGGGCAACAACACCAAUUCGCAGUCCAACUUCUUCCAGGCCUUCAAGUCCUGGCAGAACCGCACCAGCUUCAUCUCCAACAAAUCCUCCCAAUGACCAUCUAGAUCCAAACAGGGGAUUGUCUGAAAAGGAGUUAAAACUGAAAACCAAGAGAGAAAUAAUGGUUCUAGGGACACAGCUAGGUAAAAUGAACAUUGCAGCCUGGGCUAGCAAAGAGGGGGAGGACAAGGACGCAUCCACUUCACUGAAAAUUAUAGCAGCUGAUCAACAGAGUAAAAAUGUGAUUGAAACACGUGCAGCAGCAUGGGAGGAGGCGGAGAAGGCCAAGUAUAUGGCCAGGUUUAAACGUGAAGAGAUGAAAAUUCAUGCAUGGGAGAAUCAUCAAAAAGCAAAAACUGAAGCUGAGAUGAGAAAAAUUGAGUUCAUCGUGUUUUACUGCCUUCCUGUUAUUGAAACUUUGGUGUACGCAAAGAUCCAGUUGCAAAGCUGCACAGCUAAAGUGGUUUUCACCAAAGAUGUAGCACGUGUUUAGAAAGUAGAGCUUUGACAUCGUUUAUCAUUUGUGUGUGAGUGGGAUAAGAGGAAGGGUUUAAUACAUGAUGAGUUGGAAAUAGAGUUUUCUUUGGAUGUUGGAAAAGGAUCUUCCAGUGCAAGAUUGAGAGCUUGACAUGCAACCACAUAAACUUGGGAAAGAAGAUUCUGAUGUUGGAAAUUAGCAAAGAGCAGGUGGAGGUUGAAAGGAUAAGGGGGCAGGCCCAAGAUAGGCUUAUGAACAAACUAGCAGCAGCAAGGCACAAGGCUGAAGAGAAGCGAGCAACAGCAGAAGCCAAGAGUAACAGGCAGGCUGCGAAAACUGACAAACAGGC